GAUGAACGCUAGCGGGAGGCUUAACACAUGCAAGUCGAGGGGUAACAUGAGGUAGCAAUACUUUGAUGACGACCGGCGCACGGGUGAGUAACACGUAUGCAACCUACCCUGUACAGGGGGAUAGCCCGGAGAAAUUCGGAUUAAUACCCCAUAAAGAUAUUUAGAGGCAUCUUUAAAUAUUUAAAGUUUCGACGGUACGGGAUGGGCAUGCGCAACAUUAGCUAGUUGGUAGGGUAACGGCCUACCAAGGCUACGAUGUUUAGGGGACCUGAGAGGGUGAUCCCCCACACUGGUACUGAGACACGGACCAGACUCCUACGGGAGGCAGCAGUGAGGAAUGUUGGUCAAUGGGCGUAAGCCUGAACCAGCCAUCCCGCGUGAAGGAAGAAGGCGCUAUGCGUUGUAAACUUCUUUUCCGGGGGAAGAAAACCCGCUACGAGUAGCGGCUUGCCGGUACCCUGGGAAUAAGCAUCGGCUAACUCCGUGCCAGCAGCCGCCGUAAAAC
rnacentral:rRNA from 1 species